AAAACAUUAAAAUAAAAUGAAAAUUGUCAAAAAUUUCCUCUCUCUCUUCUCACUCCGGUGGCAUUUAAUUUGGGAAAGGGGAGUUGUUUCCCAUCAUGGGAAAGUUGAUCUUAACUUUUGGAUUAAAUGAAGAACAUGGUAUUAUUAUGGACUCUUAACACUAGAUAUUUUUCAGACUCUCUCCUACCACUCUUCUCUCUCCUCCAUCCCCACUUUCCUCUCUCCACCACCGUCUCAAACUUUGCAUUCCAGAUCUAAAUUUUUGCAAUACAAUUUCAGUCCAGCCCAUGAUUUAACCAUUCCUCAAUUUUAAUGUUGAAUAAAUAGUCAAUGUUAAAAUAGGCUGUAUUUUCAUCUCUCCCACCAAAGGACUUAUUUAUAUAUGAUUUCAACAUUGGCCGUUAAACUUUUAUCCAAUUAUUCCUUAAUUAGUCUACAUGGUCAAUGUCAAGUUGGAUUGUGAUAAAAUAAGUAGGUUGUAUUUUCAUCUCUCCCACCAAAUAUCAAUGAAUGUACGGUUGCAGCACAAAUCAAUUUCUGGAUAGUGGAUUCAAAGUUACCUCCAGCUUUAUAGAUCUUCGUUUCAAAGAUGCUUAUAAAAUUGUUGUCGCUAUUAGUGAUAUCCAGAGGUGGUGGAGGUUACGUUACCAUUUGUGGUGGCGGAGGUGACCACCGGAGUUGUUCAGUUUGCUGGUUGUGGUGAAAAGAUGGAAAUGGUAAAGGAUGAAGACAAAUGGAAAAAUAUAGUGUGGAUAGACUAUAAUAAAAUUAAUGUUCCUCUUAAAUCUAAUGGCUGAAAAUAACUUUCCCAUGGUGGGAAACAACUCCCCUUUCCCAAAUUAAAUGGCACCUCUCACUCCCGUCCCCAUUCUUCCUUCUCUAUAUGUUCUUUUUUUUCCCCUUUGCAUCAUCUUCAUCCUUCAUUUUAUCCCAUCUUUCUCAGAUCUAACUCUCUCUUCACAAAUAAAAAGUUGAUGGGUUUUCUGUUUUUCUUUCAUUCAAUUUAUUCCUUGAAUUCUCCCUUUAAUCUCUUCAUAUAAUUCUCAAUUAAUCAUCCCAAAUCUAUUUUAAUAUCAGAUCCGAAAACCAUGAAAACAGUACACGAUUUAUUUUGCUUUCUUGGGUUUUUUUUCUUCUUUGUUCAUCUCUUUCCAUUUUUUGGUUUCUGAGUUUGAAUUAAAUUCAGAUUUGGAGAUUAGGGUUUGAAUUGAAAAGAAUGAAGAAGAAAAGGAAAAGAGAUUAGAAAAAUAAUUGGAAUGAUUAAGGUUUUCUAGGUGUUGUUGUUGUGUGUUAUUGAUGUUGUGUUGAUGAAGAUGAUGAAGGAGGAGAGAAGAAGAGGCACUAGAGGAGAAGAGGGAGAAAAAAAUUUGGAAUUUUUAAUUUGAUGUUUUUCAUGAAUUCUGGUGUUUUGAUGUUGUUGUUGUUGGGUUGCUGUUGUGCGUGCUGCUAUGUGUUGUUGGAGAAGAUUGAGGAGAUUGUUGUGUUGUUGUUGUUGUUAGUGAUGAUGAAGGUGAAAAAAAAUUCUGGGUUUGAAGGGAGAUGGAGUAAAAGAGUCAGGAAAAAAAAAAUCUGGAAAAAUAAUGAUAGAAGGAGAUUGAAAAAGAGAGUGAGUGGGGAAGAAGAUGAAGAUGUAAUUGAUUUUUUUUUUUUAAUUCUAUAUAUAUGUGAG
rnacentral:lncRNA from 1 species